CAGUAGCCGCGGUAAUACGAAGGGUGCAAGCGUUAAUCGGAAUUACUGGGCGUAAAGCGUGCGUAGGCGGUGAGUUAAGUCUGCUGUGAAAUCCCCGGGCUCAACCUGGGAAUGGCAAUGGAUACUGGCGAGCUAGAGUGUGUCGGAGGAUGGUGGAAUUCCCGGUGUAGCGGUGAAAUGCGUAGAGAUCGGGAGGAACAUCAGUGGCGAAGGCGGCCAUCUGGGACAACACUGACGCUGAGGCACGAAAGCGUGGGGAGCAAACAGGAUUAGAUACCUCGGUAGUCCCUGUCUCUUAUAC
rnacentral:rRNA from 1 species